CUUCAACUUCCAGCCGGCUUUGACAGGCAACACAUAAGCUAAGAAACUGGCAUUUUGAAUGCUGAAAGAGGUUUUAUGUGAAGCCUGAAUAACACAGAGGGAAAGUAUGUCUUGCUAAUGGAAAAUCUCCCUCAGGGAGAACACAAUUGGCACGAGUCAUAAACAUGACAACUCCAUAAACAAAAUGGCUGCCAGUUUCCUGGGAAAAUAGUACUUACAAAAGAAUCAAAGACACAGGAUAUGCAAAAUAAAGGAAGGAGUUCAUGUGGCCCCAUGGAAUCAUUGACAUGCCUGCAAAGGAUGUUUGC